UACGUAGGGUGCGAGCGUUGUCCGGAAUUAUUGGGCGUAAAGAGCUCGUAGGCGGUUUGUCGCGUCGAAUGUGAAAACCCGGGGCUCGACCCCGGGCCUGCAUUCGAUACGGGCAGACUAGAGUUCGGUAGGGGAGUCUGGAAUUCCUGGUGUAGCGGUGAAAUGCGCAGAUAUCAGGAGGAACACCGGUGGUGAAGGCGGGACUCUGGGCCGAUACUGACGCUGAGGAGCGAAAGCGUGGGGAGCAAACAGG
rnacentral:rRNA from 1 species